rnacentral:rRNA from 1 species
GACGAACGCUGGCGGCGUGCUUAACACAUGCAAGUCGAACGGAAAGGCCCUGCUUUUGUGGGGUUCUCGAGUGGCGAACGGGUGAGUAACACGUGAGUAACCUGCCCUUGACUUUGGGAUAACUUCAGGAAACUGGGGCUAAUACCGGAUAGGAGCUCCUGCUGCAUGGUGGGGGUUGGAAAGUUUCGGCGGUUGGGGAUGGACUGGCGGCUUAUCAGCUUGUUGGUGGGGUAGUGGCUUACCAAGGCUUUGACGGGUAGCCGGCCUGAGAGGGUGACCGGCCACAUUGGGCCUGAGAGACGGCCCAGACGCCUACGGGAGGCAGCAGUGGGGAAUAUUGCAGAAUGGGCGGAAGCCUGAUGCAGAAACGCCGCGUGCGGGAUGACGGCCUUCGGGUGGUAAACCGCUUUCGCCUGUGACGAAGCGUGAGUGACGGUAAUGGGUAAAGAAGCAACGGCUAACUACGUG